rnacentral:rRNA from 1 species
UCGAUACCUCUAAAGUAAACCCGCGAACUUGUUCUUAACAUGCUUGGGUUUGCGCCACUGGAUGCCUUGGUGUACCUUGUCGUUCUCCCACCCCGAUGACUCAUGCGUGCGUGGUUCUUCGGGUUAAUGAACAUCCCGGCGCGGCAAGCGCCAAGGAAAACUAUCACGAGAGUGUUUGCUCCCACGAGGCAUCCUUUAUGUUGCAUCGUUUGGUUGCAAGUGCUUGUUGAAUUACUAAAUGACUCUCGGCAACGGAUAUCUCGGCUCUCGCAUCGAUGAAGAACGUAGCGAAAUGCGAUACUUGGUGUGAAUUGCAGAAUCCCGUGAACCAUCGAGUUUUUGAACGCAAGUUGCGCCCGAAGCCAUUAGGUUGAGGGCACGUCUGCCUGGGUGUCACGCAUUGCGUCGCCCCCUCCCAUCCCUCUUUACCCAUGUUAAAGUGGGGGUGGAGUUGAGGGGGCGGACAUUGGCCUCCCGUGCUGUUCUUGUGCGGCUGGCCUAAAUUUGAUUCAUUGUCGACAAAUGUCACAACUAGUGGUGGUUGAAUCAAUCGCGUGCUGUUGUGAGAUACAAUUGUCGCAUCGUGGACAUUAUUAUUUUGACCCAACAAUGCCAAGUGCUUUCGACU